rnacentral:rRNA from 1 species
AGUGAACGCUGGCGGUAGGCUUAACACAUGCAGGUCGAACGGCAGCACCCUAAGAGCGUGCUCUUCUGGGGGGCGAGUGGGGGACGGGUGAGGAAAACAUCGUAACCUACUUUUUCGGGUGGGUUAACGAAGGGAAGGCUAAUAUAAUACCGCAUACGACCUUGGGUGGAAGGCAGGGGAUCUUCGCGGCUGGCGGGACUGGAUUCGCCGCUGUCGGGUUGGUUGGUGGGCGGGUUAAAUGCCCAGCAAGGCGACGAUACGUAGCUGGUCUGAGAGGAUGAUCGGCCACACUGGAGCUGAGACACGGUCCAGACUCCUACGGGAGGCAGCAGUGGGGAAUAUUGGACAAUGGGCGCAAGCCUGAUCCAGCCAUACCGCGCGGGUGAAGAAGGCCUUCGGGUUGUAAAGCCGUUUUGUUGGGAAAGAAAAGCAGCAGGUUGAUACCCCGCUGUUCUGACGGUACCCAAAGAAUAAGCACCGGCUAACUUCGUG